AGUGAACGCUGGCGGUAGGCCUAACACAUGCAAGUCGAACGGCAGCACAGUAAGAGCUCGCUCUUACGGGUGGCGAGUGGCGGACGGGUGAGGAAUACAUCGGAAUCUACUUUUUCGUGGGGGAUAACGUAGGGAAACUUACGCUAAUACCGCAUACGACCUACGGGUGAAAGCAGGGGAUCUUCGGACCUUGCGCGAUUGAAUGAGCCGAUGUCGGAUUAGCUAGUUGGCGGGGUAAAGGCCCACCAAGGCGACGAUCCGUAGCUGGUCUGAGAGGAUGAUCAGCCACACUGGAACUGAGACACGGUCCAGACUCCUACGGGAGGCAGCAGUGGGGAAUAUUGGACAAUGGGCGCAAGCCUGAUCCAGCCAUACCGCGUGGGUGAAGAAGGCCUUCGGGUUGUAAAGCCCUUUUGUUGGGAAAGAAAAGCAGCAGGUUAAUACCCCGCUGUUCUGACGGUACCCAAAGAAUAAGCACCGGCUAACUUC
rnacentral:rRNA from 1 species